ACCUUUGGCACAGCGCGACUUCCCUGGCCCUCCCCCUGCGGACCAGUGAACCUCGCCCGAGGGCUCAAUAAAGAAGAUUUUUGCCCUCUUUUUCUCACCUCUCAGCCUUAUUGAUCCAUGGUGCCCUUCCAUUGCCUUUCAUUGGUGCCGAAACCCGGGAGGGGACACCUCCUAAGCCCCCCCAGAGGCUCAGGGGGACUCCCCUCCUGGUCGGAUCAGUCCUCUCCCUCAGUCAGGUCAGGCUUCUCCUCCACGGCCAUCUGUCCAUUUCGUCCGGUUACUUGCUGCCAGGUCGCAGUUGCUGCAGCUACUCCAGUCCAAUUCGGCCGACGCUAGAUCAACUGAGAUGCAAAACCCAUGUUCACAUCAUGAGUGAGUCUUCUAACUCGGACAAUGCAAUCAACAAAUUCUAAGACCAAAUUCCGGUGGCACUGGCUCCAAAGGCAUCAUGCCAGCAGGGACCAGAUGUGCACCUAAUCAAGAGAUGGCAUCCAAUCAGAUGGGGGUGUGACCCUUUACUAUCGUCCUCACCACAGGACUCAUGGUCUAUCAAAGAGCAAGACCUCACCAGCUCAACACAGCCACCUCCAUACACAUCUUACUGUCACUUGUGAUCAGCACCAAAGGAAGUGUCCACCUGAAGGACUCUCCCUUGAGGACUGUCAGGAUCCACCCAAGAGGUGCUCUUUGUCCACACCACGUUCCUUUUACUGGGAAAAGACUUUGCCAUGAGCAGUUUAAAAUGCUGCAGAGAAAACUGCCGUGAAAGGCUCAGCUGUACCCCCUGCUCUGUUUCAUGCCAGGCAAGGAGCCGGCUGUAGACAUGGGAAAGAAGGAUGCCAGCUCCUGAGUGUGGAAGGAGGUGAACAGGGAAAAGCAGAGAGGACAAAAGUCACAUCCCCUCCCCACAGACCCAUACUGGGGAAGGGUGGAAGAUUUAGCUGCGAGUCAAGUUCAGAAUUUUGAUUAACAUCUUGGCAUGCACAUUCGAAUUUCAGAAUCAAGACUGUUGGCCAUAAAAAAUGACUAUAGCCUUGUGUAUUACCUGAACUGAGCAGUAAAAAAAAAGUCAUGGUCCUUCUGGGGCUUUUAUUCUGAGACAGGAACCCUGAACAGGCAGGAGAAAGGGAAUGUUGACAGAGAAACAAAGACAGUUGGCGACACACGCUGACCGCCAUGCGGACGUCCAUCAAACCCAGCACUGGCCCUGGGUACGUGCGCCUUUGCUAUUACCCCAAUACAUUUUCUUCUGCAGAGCAAGCAACAGAACACAUGCAGACCUUAAUAAAUACCACUGGGUAAUGUGACAAUGGCCAAACUCUCCUCACGGGGGAGAGAGUGUCCCCCAGUUUUGCUCCCUUUUAAUUUCCAGGGUUCAUAAGUAGCUCUAAAGCUUUGCUCUACAAGGUUGAUACAUACGAUAUUAAUGUUUCCCCUAAGCAGUAUAACAUAAAUAUAUUUGCUAUCUUGA
rnacentral:lncRNA from 1 species